rnacentral:lncRNA from 12 species
AUGUGCCUUCCACUUCAUUUAUUGCCAACUAACCGACUUGUUCCAGCUGAGAAGGGUCAUCAGAUAAUGGAAAUCUGUGUGUUUAUGGGGAAAAGACAGUGCAAAUGCCAAGGAAAUAUGUCUGGGAGGCAGCUGGAAAGCCAAUGUGCAUCCAUGCAUCCAGCAAAGUAGAUAUGAUACACACAUAGAUCCCCCAAGGAUGUUGCAGUGAGUGACUGGCAGCGGUAAGAGGCCGCCUCUGGGCCCCCUUGGGUGGGGCACACGGGGGGCUCUUGCACCUGAGCUCUGCCGGCCCCUCUUUGUGCAGCCAGUGCAGCAGCAGCAGCCCGACACAUUCCCGGUUGCUCCGGAGCUUUGUUCCUGACCAACACCCAUUUGCAGUAUUUCCCGAACAAGCUCAUCAGCCAGCACCAUCGCUCCCACUCCCUCUUCGCCUUCCAAUUGUCCCUGCGGGCUGGGCAGCAGCCGGGUUCAAACAAUCCGUGCUCGGGCAUCAGCCGGGGAGGACGUAAAGCAUUAACGAGUUUAAUAGCACCGAACAGGUCAAAGGUUCCGAAGUGCAUCAUUAAAAAAAAUCCCCGUGGCACCGGUCUGUGAUACCCCAGGACUUCAACAUGGGAUGCAGAAACCUGUCGCUGCUUCUUCUGAAAUCCUUCCCAAGUGUUUAAAAAGAUACAAAAAUCCACAUUUCAUUUCAUUUUAAUUUAGUCUAGUUUAAGAAACAGAGUUCUCCCUGCCCAUGCCAUGCUCACUAGCCCUCGUUCAACUCCAUCUGGUUCAAUGCUGGAACAAAAUAAUACUAAGUUGAAUUAAAUUAAAUUAAAAUAAGAGAGUAUUUUUAAUU